rnacentral:misc_RNA from 1 species
UUUCCGUAGGUGAACUUGCGGAAGGAUCAUUCAUAAUAAGUGUUUUAUGGCACUUUUUUAAAUCCAUAUCCACCUUGUGUGCAAUGUCAGGGUUGAUUUUUCUCUCGAGAGGAUCAACCCCAAACAUCAACUAUAUCUCAACUCUUUGUCUGAAAAAUAUUAUGAAUAAAACAAUUCAAAAUACAACUUUCAACAACGGAUCUCUUGGCUCUC